UCAUAGUCCUUAUAGGUGGUGUAGAGGGAGUGGGUCCCUGUGGAGUCAGCUGGAGGAGAGACAGACAGUAGAGUUAGACAGACAGGUUCAUAGUCCUUAUAGGUGGUGUAGAGGGAGUGGGUCCCUGUGGAGUCAGCUAGAGGAGAGACAGACAGUAACUAGAGUUAGACAGACAGGUUCAUAGUCCUUAUAGGUGGUGUAGAGGGAGUGGGUCCCUGUGGAGUCAGCUAGAGGAGAGACAGACAGUAGAGUUCGACAGACAGGUUCAUAGUCCUUAUAGGUGGU